UUACGAUGUCGUGUUAGUUUCAGGUGUACAGCAAAGUGAGUCAGUUAUACAUAUACAUAGAUCCACUCUGUUUUAGAUUCUUCUCCCAUAUAGGUCAUUACAGAGCAUUGAAUAGAGCUCCCUGUGCUGUAAAGUAGGUCCUUAUUAGUUAUCUACGGAAGACGCCCAAUUUAAGCCUCGUUCACGUAUUGGAAGUCUGUGCUGCAGUCUAUCCUCCAGUCAUACACCACGCUCAGCAUCGUCUGCCCACGAGAACUUUGGGAGCGUAUUGACUCAAUUGCCCCCACGAGGGGUGAGCUCCCUGUCUUUGCCCGACGGCUCCCUGUCAGCAGGGGCUGCCUGUUGCCCCCUGGCAGACAUGAUGGGGAGGCUCAAAUAAGCCUAUUAAUAUUCAGUCAAAUGCCAAUAAAGUCCUUGUCCAAUGUGAUUCAUUCACCAUAUUGAUCUACCCUUUUCAAGCCGAGAGCAAAUUAAGUGAGCAUUGGCUUGUGUUACCUUGAAAACGCAGUACAGGUAAAAAUCAAACUGUGAUCUUCUGUGUACUUGGAAGAUAAAUUGGAAAGGCUAUUCUUUUGGCGCUCAAUUUAGUGUGCCCAACCACUGUCUGGGGGAAAUCAGGGCCUCUGGCGGCAUGGCAGGGUUUAUCAGAAGGUGUCUCUGGAUUCGAAAAUGAUCUGAUGAACAAUUCUGCUCGUGUUCUGCAUCUUCUAAAAAUAGUGUCAACAAAUUGGCACCAUCUCCUAAAUAUCUGCUUACAUCCUAUUUUAGCAGCCAACUCAUGGGUUGCCAGGAGUUUAUGAUAUACCCAUCUCAAAAUAAAAAUGCCUCUCCCGCAAAUUGUAAGAGAGAUCAACAGAUUGGUAGCAGGACAAGGGUUCUCAUGGUGCCCAGUGGGGUGAAAGUCUCUCGGAAACUUGCAAACCCCUAUUUAUGGGCUGAAAAGCUUAUAGAGUUUCUUUUUAAGGAUGUUUUCUUUUAAGGAUGUCUUUAAGGAUGUUGAUAUUUUCUUUUAAGGAUGUUGAAACAUUGCUGUCUUCAUGUUCAACUCUGGGGCCAUUGGAGACUUUGGCCUCAGAGAAGUGGGAGAAGGAGGCGCCUUCAGGAUUCACGUCCACCAUCAUCUCCUGAAGAUGACGAGGGGAUGAGGAGUGAAGGGCCUGCUUUCACAUCCAGCUGGGAUGUGACCGGCUUCCAGCCUGGAGCUCUGAGCAUCCCUCAGGCUCUCAAGGCAUCGCAACAGAUGUGCAGGGAACACAGCGGGUACCAAGCCCACAGGCCUGCCCCUUCCCAAACUCCUGCCUCACGGAGCUUUGUAAAGGAGAUCAUCACCACGGAAUUGAAGAUACAGUCAGGGUUAAUUAAGCUUGGACUUGAGGCUUCAGGUUGUUUGAAAACUUGAGAUUUACAACAAAACGACCCAAGUAACCUAUAUAACCAGUGAAACAGAAAGCAAAGCAAGAAACAUAAUAAUUCUCAAAGAUGACUCACACCUGCUAAGAUUCCUGUGUUAUGGGCAAAUAUCAAAGCCACCAGAUACUUCGGCUGUUUUUGGCUUCCUCAGCUAUUUUGUGAUAGAAUGGAGGGGAAUGAUGUGAAGAGAGUCAUCUGAUUUGAGGUUGGAGUGAAGAGCACAGGCUCUGGACGCGCAGGCUCAGCGGCCAUGGCUCACGGGCCCAGCCGCCCAACGGCAUGUGGGAUCUUCCCAGACCGGGGCACGAACCCGCAUCCCCUGCAUCGGCAGGCGGGCUCUCAACCACUGUGCCACCAGGGAAGCCCAGGGCUGUCACUUCAGCAGAGUGCCAGCCUCUGGGACUUUGGUAGAAGAGGAUGCAAGUCACCCGUGCCUCUGAUUUUGGCCAUGAGAACGUCCUCUCACUGCCGUGGCCCCUCCCAUUGCAGAGCACAGGCUCCGGACGCGCAGGCUCAGCGGCCAUGGCUCACGGGCCCAGCCGCUCCGCGGCAUGCAGGAUCUUCCCGGACCGGGGCACAAACCCGUGUCCCCUGCAUCGGCAGGCGGACCCUCAACCACUGCGCCACCAGGGAAGCCCCAGAUUUUAUAUUCUUGCUCACCCAGACAGUGCCUUUUGGAGGGGGCACAUAGGAAGGCUGUGUGGAAAGAACGGAUGCCUUGCCAGGGUGGCGAGUACUGUGUCUGCCUGAAGGUUUGUGCGUCAGUACCCGGAAGCAGAGAGAAGAUAUUGCAACCACAGAAAAAGAUACCUGGCUGCUUGGCCUUUCACUGGAGUCCAAGUGAAGGACUGCCCUCUGAGGCAGCGUUGACAUCUAAGGAAAGGCAUUCACAGCACUCUGUGCUGAACUCGGACUGGAUCUGGAAACCCAGACAACCCUUCCAAAACCUUCCAAAGCCUUAUCAUCUUCCAGAACGCUUUACACACAGAAGAUAAAAAUGUAGUUCCGUAUAACACCGCAAGAAAACUUUUACAAAGGUUAUUACAAAGUGUUUAGCAGAGCUCCCUGUGCUAUACGGCAACUCUUCAUCAGCCGCGUGUGGGCUGAGAGGAAGGUUUGGAAUUCUGAGGAUUCCCAGGCUUGGAGUGAAUCCACACCACAUCCUUCUCACGGGACCUUCACUGGGUGCAUGGUAGCAGCACCAAGGCCGGUAAGCCCUCCCGAUGUGCGGUACCUGGACCAAGUACGUGGCCGGGCCCUUCUGGAGGCUUGGGGAUGUGCAGGAUGACCAAGGGAGCUUCCUAGGGCACAGGAGGCUCCUCCUGGAUGCGAGGCAGCAAAUCAAAGCCUGCUCCUCUUGUAGAAGAACGGAGAGCGAUCUCCAAAGGCUCAGGGAGUGGCUGCUCACGUGUAAAGUCUGGAGCCUUAAUAAUGAUAUUCGUGUACUGCUUUAUUAAGCACUUUAACCUUUACGCUCUAAUUCUCAUAAUAAACACAUUACGUUUGUGAUGUUAUUCCCAAACUCUGGAGGAUAACUGGCUUACUCUAGGCUUUAGAAAGUGAGUGUGCAGCAAAAGCAGGACAGAGACCCAAGAUUGUUGCCUCUUAGUUUAUGCUUUUCCAAGAAACAAUAGUUACUCUGCUGCUGCACUAUCCUUACCUCAGAAAACUCCUGCUGUAGCAACGUUUGUUGUUGAGGUCUCUGAAAUACCUGUUUUGUUCUGAACCUCUGAACUUUCUUGGCUCAAAAUGGGAAUGACAGCCUUUAACACAUGAUUAUCAUUUUAUAGCAAUGUAUGCAUUUAGAAUUCUGAGUUAUGAUUCACCCAGUUAUCUGAAUUAAAAUAUUUUCCUUGCCUUCACUGUUGGGCUUUGAAGUACCACCGUAAACCCACCUACCCCUUUCCCCAGAGUCUGGGGUAGGCGCUUCAAUAUGCCCCCAUAGCACCAUAAGAUCCCCCACCAUAAUGCCCAUCACAAGAUACUGGACCUUCCAGUUUAUGCGUCUGCUUCUACCCAGCGGUGAGCUCAGGGAUUUUCUGCUUGGAGGAGAAAUUAUUUCGUAUUCAUCUUUUAUCCCAGGGCUUAUUACAGUGGCAUUCAAGGGUCAGUCAAUAAAUACUACUGAAUGACUAAACAAACAGAGUAAAUAAAUGCCUUAGGAGAAUCGGUCACCCCCUGGUCUGCCAUAUCUCACCACGACUACAUUGAUACAUUGAUUAAUAAUUUGCCUGGAAAGAAGCUCCUUUAUGAUGGUGUGGAUGAUAGUAAAAGUAAUAUUUUCAUCGUGUUAUUAAGUGCAGUGUUGUUCAACCUGUCUGCUUAUCUGCCAACGUACGGUCCGGGGCAGAGAUCACGUCAGCUUUGCUGUCGUAUCUACAGCAGUUUGCAGAGUUAUCGGCACACGGUAGUGGCUUACUUUCCUGGGUGAAUAAAUACCUUUUUAUGAUGAUUAUGUAAUACAUGUACAGUUCUGUAAACAUUAUAUAUAUUAGUCAUGCUUUACAUGUACACAUAUAAAUUUAAACUUACCCAUCUUUUUCUUCAUUGAUUGUGAUUUUUGUCACUUGUUUAAUAAUUGCUUCUUUUCCCCAAGGCACUGUCUUUAUUUUUUGGUAAGAUUUGGGGGUCUGAUUUUUAUAUAUUGACAGUUAAUUCAUUAAAAUUGUUUUCUUUUUGUGGUGUGAGGUAGGUAUCAGAUUUUUUAAUGUAUGCGUAAACAAUUUUCCCAGCUCUAUUUAUUGAAUAGCUUAGCUUUCCUUCUCUGAUUUGCAAUGUCAUUUAUCAAUGUUCUAUAAUUAAUAGGCAUUCUUUUCUAUUAUAUAUGUUGGCAUUGAUAUCAUAGUGUUUUCAUUACUACAGUUUUGUAAGUCUUGAUAACUAGUAAGAAAUGUUUUGUUCCUUCUCUCUUCUUGAUCUUUCUUCUUAGAGGUUUUUAAAAAGCAAAUUUUUCUUUUGUUGAAGCUCAUUUGCUUUUUUCUUUUUCCAUUUUAUUGAUUUCCUACCUAUUAUGUCUGCCCUAUUUUUAAAAGCUUAUUCUAAGCUUUUAAGUCCUUCAGACAUUUACUUUUAAUCUUUUUCUUUUAUUAAUGCAUGUAUUUCCCUUUUUCUUGGUCCUACUGUAGAUGACUAUGAUGUACACUUUUUGGUAUUCAAUUCUAAAUAUGUCUUAGUUUCCUAUGUGAAUAACUUAUUAUCUUGAGUAAUUUGAGUCCAUUUAAGUCUGUGCUUGUUGCUGAUUUCUAAUUACUUGGAGUUUUGCUCUGAGAAUCUGAUCUGAAUGUGUAUCACUCACACUCUAGCAGGAAGCAGAUGCCGUACUCAAGUGGGUAAUGGAGGAAGGUUUAAUGAAGAGGCUGCUCAUAAAUAUGUAAGCAGGGUUACAGGAAACCAAGAGCGAUGGUUGAAAUGCUCUACACUAGCAAGAUGGAGGAGCCAUUACUACCCUCAGGACUGAAGGUUAAGGAGAGGCAAAGUUGACCAGAACCCAGAGAUAGUAGCUGUUGUUGUAGCAGAGGGUUUCCUGACAGGGGCUGUGGUCUUGGUAGAGAAACUUACUUCAACAUAUAACGACCCAUCACAGAGGAAACCAGCAAAUAAGUACCCUGAUCUCACUCUGUUCUCCAGUCCAGUCUCCACCAAUGCUUCCCAUUUAUGCGAAACAACCAGAAGCCAGAUGGCAAAGGGAACCAUGGACGAAGUCCAGCCAGUUCAGCCUCCCAGGGUAGAGGCAGAUGGAAGAAAGGCAGAGGGUGGGUUUGGAUGGUAUAAUGAAAGUGUCCAGUACUGUUCAUUCUUUCUGUCCCCUCCAAAGCUUCACUCACCUGUUUGGCAUUCAAGUAAAAUAAAUGUGUUCUCAAUGCCGGGGACAACAAAGUUCCAUGAGCUGCCGUAUAGAUUGAGUGAUGUCAAUACCUGAAAGAUAAAAUGUUAGCCACCCCGAGCUGCCCACCAUCAACUGAAUGUUUUUUCCUGAUAUUCCAAAUCAUAAGAUUGGAUAUUAACAGUAAUAUUAAAUUAUCCCUUGGAAAUGGUAUAUAUCAGAACAGGCACAAGUUAAUUGCACAGGUAGCUGGGUCAUUUACUCACCUGGAAACUGUGCCUAUUUCUGUGUCUACUGCUUUGCCCUCAACACACACCUGUGGCCUCAUGAGGGUUCCCUAUGAAAAGUUAACAAAAAGGGUAGGUCUGGUUUGCAGAUGGAUUUGCAUAAUAUACACAUAGAUAACCAAAUGUAUUACAGCUCCACACAGGGAUGGUGGAUUUGGAAAAAAAACAGUGAUGAUGGGCAAUCACUUGGGGGUCAAGCACUAAGUUUCCACCAGGGUCAAUAGGAGGCCAGGAACUGCUUACCAACUUGAGGCUAGUUACUGGCAGAAGACGGCAUGGCUUCAUUCCCAAACCCAAGGGACCAUGCAGUGAUUCUUUCUUUGGGAUUUUUCGGUUGCUGUUAAAAUAUAUUAUCUGCCUCACACACAGGAAAUACCGUAGCAUAUCUUGACACACAGCAUAAGUGACAAGACAGCUUGAACUACUUCCUGGACAUGAUACGGAAGUCUAAGCAGUAGACCUUCUUGUUCUUUACUCUUUCCACCCGCUCCCCCCCGCCCCCGCAAACUGGCCAUCUUAAGCGUUACUCAAUAAUCAUGUUACAAGAUCAUGCUUACAUAUCCUAUAUGUAGCCUUCAGAAAGCAAAAAGUCCAUCAACAGUUAUGUCUAUUUCUUUGAAAUGGGUGCUACAAAGUGUCACAGUAUAUUUUCACUUUAGAGUGAAAGUGAAAGAGUUUAGGUCUCCAAACUCUUGUGGGGCUUAUCUCUUACCCUCUCACCCUUGCUACUUCCUCUCAUCAGCUCCAGUGAGCAAAACGUCAUCAACGUGAUGUGGUACCUGAUGUGAUAUUAAGACAUUCAAUUCCCUCUGGUCUGUCUUAGGACCAAAGCAGGAGAGAUGGAUGAUGUAGGGGUGCUGAUGCUCCUGCCACAAGAGAAUGAGUUGUUUCUGAUCAUCUUUACUGAUAGAAAUGGGGAAAAUUAUCAAUAUAUGCCAGGUCAACAGCCGUAUACUCGGUGGUAGAGCAAUGUUGAUUUGCUUCGGUAAAGAUACCACAUGUGGAACUACAGUUAUGAUGGACAUGAGCACCUGAUUAAGUGUGCGAUAACCCACAGUCAUCCUCCAAGACUCAUCUGGGUUUUGCACCAUUCAAACGGGUAAGGCAGAGGGACUUCCCUGGUGGUCCAGUGGUUAAGACUCUGCCUUCCAACGCAUGGGGUGCAGGUUCAAUCCCUGCUUGGGGAGCUAAGAUCCCACAAGCCUUAGAGCCAAAAAAACAAAACAUAAAACAGAAGCAAUAUUGUAACAAAUAAAGACUCCUGUUUUCCUCCUCUUUGUACAAUGUUUUUUUAAAAAUCCCUGUGACAGAGUUCUCCUGGUGUGAACCGCAUGGGUUAUGGCUUCAAUAGCAACCAGAAGUGACAGCUCCUAGGUCCUCAUUGGGAGAAGCUUCCUACAUGGGGGAAAGAGGGCUGGAAGGCAUGAACCCUGAGUGGGAGGAGGGCGCUGCAGCAUCACCGGUGCAGGUGAGGGUCAUGGCAAGGAUGCUGGCCGCCAGAGCCACACUCGGUCUCAGUUAUGCUCACCUUUUUGCUGAAGAACAGGGGAAGCCUGUCCCCUUUCCCUCUCCGAAUCGAUCCAGAGAAGGUGGCCCUGGCCGGCUUGCCACUCUGUAGAGCCUCGAGUUGGCCACCAGGAGGCAGUGCUGUCUCUUCUCAGACGCAAGGGUAGAAGGUCCCGCCUGGCUCGGAGGUGAGUUCUCGGGUGACCUGUGGGAGGUGUGAAGACAGAGAAAGGUGGAGACAAAGAGGGCUUUUCUCUCCCACUCCGAUGUAGGGAGGAACCUGUCGCCACCCUGGGGUGUUCUGAUCGCAAGCAUUUAAGCGGAUCCUAGAGGAUCCCCACCCCCGCCCCGGUCAGGCAGGUGGGGAUUGAAGUUUCCCUCCAGAAGGUAUUUGCCUGGUUCACCAAAAAACACCUGACGUCCAAUGCUUUAGUCCAAUGAGUUCCCUGAAGGCAGGGCUACUGCCUCUUCAUCUCUCUCCUAGCAGGGCGUGUGCUUAACUGACAAGUCGUCCAGUGAGUGAUUUAAUACAUAAAGCAUCUGACCUUUGCUAAGACGCUGCUUUCGGAGGCAAGGAACCAGGUUUUCAUGUCGGCCCUCCUACCGGUCUGUCGCUGAGAAAUAACUUCUGUCUGAGCCUCCACUCCCCGUGUGUGACUCACUCGCAGAUGUAAAGUCGAACUCUGCUGAAGGCAGGGACACAGUUACGGAUGCAUGUUUUUGAAAGGAAAAAAUGGUUGUGAAUGUGAAAUCCACGUUUCUUCCUUGACUGUUUUAGAUCUUAUAGGGUAGAGUAAAUUUCUUAUGUGAAGGCACCUAGAGAUUUGCCUCAUGGCCCUCAAGGCAUGAUUACCAGGGGGUAAGGGGGAGACGGAUAAAUUGGGAGAUUGGGAUUGACAUAUACACACUACUGUGUAUAAAAUAGAUAACUAAUAAGAACCUAUUGUAUAACACAGGGAACUCUACUCAAUACUCUGUAACGGCCUAUAUGGGAAAAGAAUCUUAAAAAAGAGUGGAGGGGGCUUCCCUGGCGGCGCAGUGGUUGAGAGUCCGCCUGCCGAUGCAGGGGACACGGGUUCGUGCCCCGGUCCGGGAAGAUCCCACAUGCCGCGGAGCGGCUGGGCCCGUGAGCCAUGGCCGCUGAGCCUGCGCGUCCGGAGCCUGUGCUCCGCUGUGGGAGAGGCCACAGCAGUGAGAGGCCCGCGUACCGCAAAAAAAAAAAAAAAAAAAAAAGAAUGGAGGUAUGUAUAUGUAUAACAGAUUCACUUUGCUGUCCACCUGAAAUUAACACAACAUUGUAAAUCAACAAUACUCCAAUAAAAAUUAAAAAUAAUAGUAACACAUUGAGCUGAGAGUGCAAAAUGGGUGGAGAGCCCGUCCACUCGAUUUACAACCUGGACAGCGGCCUGCAUCGUGGACGAGGAGGCUUGUCUGUGGACGCUUCAGGGAUGUGGCCUGGUUAGUUUCACGUUGACCCUCCCCAGUUAUCCCUGACCACCCCCGUCAGGGGGCGCUAGAUAGUAAGGUUCUCGGGAGUAAGAACUAUGCUUGGGGUGGG